CAACACUUAGCACUCAUCGUUUACGGCGUGGACUACCAGGGUAUCUAAUCCUGUUUGCUCCCCACGCUUUCGAGCCUCAGCGUCAGUUACAGACCAGAGAGUCGCCUUCGCCACUGGUGUUCCUCCAUAUAUCUACGCAUUUCACCGCUACACAUGGAAUUCCACUCUCCUCUUCUGCACUCAAGUUCCCCAGUUUCCAAUGACCUUCCACGGUUGAGCCGUGGGCUUUCACAUCAGACUUAAGGAACCGCCUGCGCUCGCUUUACGCCCAAUAAAUCCGGACAACGCUUGCCACCUACGUAUUACCGCGGCUGCUGGCACGUAGUUAGCCGUGGCUUUCUGGUCAGAUACCGUCAAGGCCGGAGCAGUUACUCUCCAACUUGUUCUUCUCUGACAACAGAGUUUUACGAUCCGAAAACCUUCUUCACUCACGCGGCGUUGCUCCGUCAGACUUUCGUCCAUUGCGGAAGAUUCCCUACUGCUGCCUCCCGUAGGAGUUUGGGCCGUGUCUCAGUCCCAAUGUGGCCGAUCACCCUCUCAGGUCGGCUACGUAUCAUCGUCUUGGUGAGCCGUUACCUCACCAACUAACUAAUACGCCGCGGGUCCAUCCAUAAGCGACAGCACAAAGGCCGUCUUUCCUUUCCCGAUCAUGCGAUCAAGAAAACUAUGCGGUAUUAGCACCCGUUUCCGGAUGUUAUCCCCCUCUUAUGGGCAGGUUACCCACGUGUUACUCACCCGUUCGCCACUAUCUUCUCAGUGGAAGCAAGCUUCCAUAGAAAAGACCGUUCGACUUGCAUGUAUUAGGCACGCCGCCAGCGUUCGUCCUGAGCCAGGAUCAAACUCUCAUGUAAUGUGGGCUCUUGUACAGAAACCCUCAUGAAAAGCUGAAUAGCUCUUAAUUUCUUGCUGACUUUAUGUUUGCGAUACGAUGUAUCGCCUUCGUUUGCUUUGACCGAAGUCUAAGCUCCCUGCACAUUUGGUUCGUUCAUUCUUUGUUCAGUUUUCAAAGGUCAAUCGCGCAUCACGUAUUACGUGAUUGCUUAUUCAUAAUAUCACUGCUCCGACUCUCCGUCAAGCCUUUUCUGAAAGUUUUUCAGAAGCAAUAUCAGCUUGCAGAUGCGUGGAUCAGCAACUUUUAUAUAAUAUCACGCUUUAAAUCGCAUGUCAACAAUUUUUUCAAAUCAUUUCAAAUCCGAUUCUGGCGGACAACUUCUAUAUACUAUCAUCGCAGCCAAAUGCUGUCAACGAUUUUUUAAUUUUUUUUAAACCUUUCGACACAGACCUAGGAAACGAUAUAAAUGUUCUCCAUAUGGCAUGCGAGUCAGCGGUCCAAACCCUCUGUAUUCCGACCAAAAGCAUCCUACUUCCGCAGUCGGAUGCUCUGUUGGAUUUGUCCCGCUCACCCAUACCUAUUUAAAUCAGUUUACUGGCAGGACUGCUUUUUUGGCGAGGUUUUCCAAAAAGUUCCGAAUAAGCGUCUGACCAUCUUUGGUGAAAAUGGACUCGGGAUGGAACUGCAGGCCAUAGACGGCAUGCUCCUUGUGCUUCAUCGCCAUAAUGACGCCAUCAUCGACACUUUUGGAGAGUAUUUCCAGUUCGUCGGGAAGGCUCUUUUCCUCGACAACCAGCGAAUGGUAACGCAUGACUUCGAAUGGGGAAGCGAUCCCUUGGAAAAGAGGGUCUCCGUUAUGUGUGAUCAUGGAGGUUUUGCCGUGCUUCAGCGUUUCCGCACGAAUGACAUUCCCGCCAUAAGCAUACCCGAUGGCCUGAUGCCCAAGACAGAUUCCUAGCAAAGGUACUUUUCCGGCAAACUCCCGGACCACAUCAACGCAGACCCCGGCAUCUUCCGGCACGCCCGGUCCUGGGGAAAGGAUGAUGCAGUCCAGGUCCAUCCCUUUCAUUUCAUCAAGUGUCAGGGCAUCAUUGCGCAGAACCUGCACAUCCGGAUUGAUUUCUCCGAUGUAUUGAUAGAGGUUGUACGUAAAGGAAUCAUAGUUAUCGAUCAAUAAAAUCAUUCAGAUUACCUCCUUCAAGGCCAUUGCUUUGUUGAGCGUCUCGGUAUAUUCAGAUUGCGGAACGGAAUCGUGCACAAUCCCUGCGCCGGCUUGAACAUAGGCGAAGCCGUCCUUCAGAAUGAUGGUCCGGAUGGCGAUGCAGGUGUCCAUGUUGCCAUUAUAGGAAAAAUAGCCGACCGCACCGGCAUAGAUGCCCCGCUUCGUUUUUUCCAAUUCGUCGAUGAUGCCCAUCGCCCUUAUUUUCGGCGCACCUGAUACGGUCCCUACAGGCAAGCACGCGCUCAAGGCUUCAAAGCAGGUCAGACCCGGUUUCAAUUUGCCGGUCACCUUCGAAACGAUGUGCAUAACGUGUGAAUAAAUAUCCACUUCCAUGAACUUAUCCAGCUUGACGCUGCCGAAUUCGCUAAUCCUGCCGAUGUCGUUCCUUCCCAAAUCCACCAGCAUCACAUGUUCUGCCCGCUCCUUCUCAUCCGCAAGCAACUCUUUCUUCAAUUCAUUGUCUUCCUCUUCGUUCUUCCCUCUUCUGCGUGUUCCGGCUAUCGGAUUCGUCAUGACUUCGCCAUCCUGAACGGUGACCAGACUUUCCGGGGAGGAACCGACCACCUGGAAAUCACCCAGAUCGAUAUAGAAAAGGUAAGGCGACGGAUUCUUUGUGCGCAGUCUUCUGUAGAUGUCGAACGGUUCGGAUUCCGAUUUGAUAGUCAAGCGCUGCGAAAGGACAACCUGAAAGAUGUCGCCCGCUUUGAUGUAUUCUUUUGCUUUCUCGACGAGUUUACAAAAUUCCGCUUCGCUGACAUUUGAAGAAACUUCUUGAUUCGGAUUCACCUCUUGGAAAGGUCGGAUGCCAUUCGUCUGGUUCAUCGUUUCGGCUAACUUUUCCAGAUUGGCAGUGAUUGUUUCAUAAUCCUCCGUGUCCUCGGGGAAAACAUUAUGGACAAGCGUCAUUUUGUGUUGGUAGUGGUCGUAGCUGAUGAAUUGCUUGUAGAACAUCAAGUAGGCUUCAGGCGCCUGCAGUUCAUCCGGGUUCACAUUCGGCAGCUUUUCGUAUUGUCGGAUGACAUCAUAGCCGACAUAACCGAUUGCGCCGCCGACAAAAGGCAACGGGAUAUCGGUCUUAAGAUAGGGAAUCGACACAUGUUCCUUCACGAAAUCGAGCACCUUGCCUUUUUUGUGCACGGCUUGCCCAUCGGUGAUGAUCGUUACAUCUUCGCCCAUACUCGUGAUGCUCUUGUAAGGAUUCGAACCCAGAAAGGAAUACCUCCCGAUUUCCCGCUCCGAAAAGACGCUCUCAAACAAAAACUUAUGCUCCCCUUCGAGAUUGUAAUACAUACCGAUGGGCGUCAAUUGGUCCGCAUUGACCGUCAAGUGUACCGGAAACACCUUGUUGUGCUUUUUUGCUGCUGCAAAUUCUGUUGCUGUCAGAUUAAACAUUCCAUUCACCCCUAAUGAGAUUUUUUGCUGUUUCUGCUUGAUUCAGGGGAUUUUGGGUACAAAAAAAGCCACAACAUCCCCUAUAAUGGGACGAUGUAGCCGCGGUGCCACCCAUAUUAGUUCUCUACUGUUGACUCACACCCGACACUGUCGUUCUUUGCGCUCCUUGCCUCCUUAUCGGAAUCAAGAACCCAAUGCGGCACCAAAAAAUGGGCUAUGCAUUGUUUUCGCGCUAAUACUACAGAAUCAAAAAAACACUUCCUCCUCAAAAGGACGAAAUGUUUCCAUUCGUUUGCCACCUCAGUACAAAACUCGCUCUGCGGGUACGGAUGUUACUCGAUACCCCGUCCUUUUAACGGCGGACUCCCGGUUUUUGCUACUAUAAUUUUCGCAUCACGUCUCAGAGAUCCAUUCACCGACAGCUACAGUGCUUGGCUUUCACUGCCCCAAACUCGCUUUGACUAAACGCCAUUGGCUACUACUUCUCAUCACAGAUUUUAUUAGUGUAAUUUUAAUUCAUUAUAAUCUAUUUCUCAUUAUUGUCAACUGGGAAAUGCUUGUUUUUUAGCGCAAUCGAAUCACUUUGCGAUAAGCGGGUCACGGCUGACCAUAAUCGUUCACUCAACUCGGCCCGGAAAACAAAAAAGUAGAGCAACAACACCAUCGUGUCAUUACUCUACUCCUCUUAAUUCGCUUAGCAAAUGAUUGUUUUAACAACCGACUACCAGCUAUUCUCUAGGCUCUGAUUUUAUCCACCAAUGAUUUCAGUGUUUUGUCCGCCGUUUCGCCAUCGUCUUUUUGGAUGGCCGAUUCAGAAAUGAUAAACGAGCCGCCCACUGCUACUAUAUGGUCAUUUUGGACAUACUCCAUAAAGUUCUCUUCAUUGAUUCCACCAGUCGGCAAGAACUUAACAUCGUAGAAAGGACCGCUCAAAGCGUUGAUCGCUUUUAACCCACCGUAAAUAUCUGCGGGGAAAAAUUUCACUACUUUGAUGCCAUAUUCCGUAGCGCGUUGAAUAUCGCCAGGUGUCGCCGUCCCGGGAAACACAGGGAUAUCAUGUUUGAUGCAGUAUUCGAUGACAUCCGGAACGAUUGCCGGCGAAACAAUAAACUUCGCGCCAUUUUCAACCGCAUCUUUCGCUUCUUUCAAUGUCCUUACCGUUCCUGCACCAACAAUCAGCUCGCCUGACUGAGCCAAUUUCUUCAUUGCAUCCAAGGCUAAGUUGCUUCGGAACGUCACUUCAAUGAACCGCACAUCGUUCUUGACCAGAAUCUCUUCCAAUCGAUCCAAACAGGAAAGAUCCGUAGCGGUAUAAAGAGGCAACAAUUUUGUUUCUUCGAUUUGUCGAUAAAUUUCGUGUUCCAUAUUCGCUAGCAUAUUCCACUCUCACUUUCUUGCAUUAAGAAAUCUUAUCCUUUUGCCUUCGUGAUUGCUUCAUGCAAUCCUUGCAGAUACGUAAUGCCCAUUGCGCGGUCAUACAACCCAUAACCAGGCAUUGCGACCUCGUCAAAAACCGUACGCCCAUGAUCGGGACGAACAACUCCGUCAAACCCGACAUCCACUAAAGCUUUCAUGAUGGCGUACAUAUCCAAUGAUCCAUCCGUGCUCAAAUGUGCUGAUUCCCUGAAUUUGCGCUCGCCCAAAAAUUCGACAUUACGGAAGUGAACAAAAUUGAUUCUGUGUCCGACUUCACGGAUGAUUUCAACCAUAUCAUUAUUUGGUUCAGCUCCAAGGGAACCUGUGCAGAGCGUAAGUCCGUUGUAUGGAGAAUCCACAAUGCUGAGGAUAUUUUUAAGGUCCUGCAAAUUCUUCGUGAUGCGCGGGAAGCCGAAUAGUUCAAAUGGCGGAUCAUCUGGGUGAAUCGCCAUCUUGACAUCCAUUGCCUCACAUACUGGAAUGAUUUUUUUCAAGAAAUAGCUCAAGUUUUCAAAUAAGAUUUCUUCUGUAACGCCUUCGUACAUUUCCACCAGUUUGCCGAAUUUAUUCAGGCGCUCUUCUUCCCAACCGGGUAGGCUGAAGCCUUUCGAUUGGCUGUGGAUCAGUUUGUACAUAUCGGCCGGUUCCAUCUUGUCCACGACAGCUUGAUCGUAUACAAGCGAGAAGCUGCCAUCUUUGUUUUCAUAGAACAAGUCUGUUUUUGCCCAACCGAAAAUCGGCUUGAAGCUGUAGCAAAUCAUGCGAACGUCGCAAGCGGACAGGUUCUUGAUUGUCGUAAUGUAAUUCUCGAUGUAUUGAUCGCGUUCAGGCGUUCCCGCUUUGAUCGCGUCAUGGAUCGCCACACUUUCGAUCCCCAAUAAUUCCAGACCGCCUUUUUCCACGGAGUCUUUCAAUUCUUGAAUUUCAGAAACUUCCCAUACAUCUCCAGGCAGCUUGGUCAAUAACGUUCCCACAACACCGUUAAUUCCCGGUAUCUGUCUUACAUGUUUCAACGGAAUUGUAUCUCCCUUUUCCCCAUACCAUCUAAAUCCCCAUUUCAUUACGCUUCACCCUUCCUUUUCCUUAAGAAAUAUCGUCCUCUUGAUUGUUUUCCAGCUUUGAUGCGUGCCUAGCGCUUAAACCAUCAGUUCUUUGGUCGAUCGCAACUUCAGCAACAUGAUAGCGCAUCCAACCUUUAUACUCUUAUUAUACAAAAAAAUAUUUUUUUGUAAAGGGAAAACCAAAAGAAAAUAUUUUUUCUUUCUAAAUGCUGUUUAGUAGAGGAUCACCGUUUAAAAAAAUUCAACAAAAAAACCCAGCAAGAUGAAAUCAUCUUGCUGGGUUUUUCAGAUGUGAUACCGGCGGCCGGGGUCGAACCGGCACGCCCUUGCGGGCACUGGAUUUUGAGUCCAGCGCGUCUGCCAAUUCCGCCACGCCGGCAUGAUAUGAAGAAUGCAAUUUUCCAUCUUACUCAUGGAAAGGCGGUAACCGGAUUUGAACCGGUGAUAGAGGUUUUGCAGACCUGUGCCUUACCACUUGGCUAUACCGCCGAGGUGUUACUAUUUAAAAAAACUGGGCUAGCUGGAUUCGAACCAACGAAUGACAGAGUCAAAGUCUGUUGCCUUACCGCUUGGCGAUAGCCCAAUAAGAGGGCGACUGAUGGGAAUUGAACCCACGAAUGCCGGAUCCACAAACCGGUGCGUUAACCACUUCGCCACAAUCGCCAUAAUAUAAUGUUGAUACAGGGGUAGUAGGACUUGAACCCACACCGACGGUUUUGGAGACCGUUGUUCUACCUUUAAACUAUACCCCUAUUCAGAGUAAGCUUUUAAAAAAUGGAGGGAGGCAGAUUCGAACUGCCGAACCCGAAAGAGCGGAUUUACAGUCCGCCGCGUUUAGCCACUUCGCUAUCCCUCCAUCAUAUAAAAAAUGGUCCGAGACGGAUUCGAACCGCCGACACCUUGAGCUUCAAUCAAGUGCUCUACCAACUGAGCUAUCAGACCAAAAUAAAAAUUUAGAAAACGGCUCCGACGGGAUUUGAACCCGCGAUCUCCUGCGUGACAGGCAGGCAUGUUGACCCCUACACCACGGAACCAAUGGAGGUUGACGGGAUCGAACCGCCGACAUUCUGCUUGUAAGGCAGACGCUCUCCCAGCUGAGCUAAACCUCCAUAAUGCUGGAAACAAUGAUCCGUACGGGAAUCGAACCCGUGUUACCGCCGUGAAAGGGCGGUGUCUUAACCGCUUGACCAACGGACCAUGCUUUUAUUCUUUGCGAUAAAGCUACGGAGAAGGAGGGAUUUGAACCCUCGCGCCGCGUUAACGACCUACACCCUUAGCAGGGGCGCCUCUUCAGCCACUUGAGUACUUCCCCUUAAAAGAGAACUCCACUAUCUGUAUGCUUUAUCAAUGGGCCUAAAUGGACUCGAACCAUCGACCUCACGCUUAUCAGGCGUGCGCUCUAACCAGCUGAGCUAUAGGCCCUUCUUAAAAAAGCGGGUGAGGAGAAUCGAACUCCCGACAUCAGCUUGGAAGGCUGGGGUUUUACCACUAAACUACACCCGCAUGGCGGCUCCGACGGGAUUUGAACCCGCGAUCUCCUGCGUGACAGGCAGGCAUGUUGACCCCUACACCACGGAACCAUGCAUUAAAAAAGUAACACUGUGGACUUGCAUCCAAUUGCGGGGACAGGACUUGAACCUGUGACCUCCGGGUUAUGAGCCCGGCGAGCUGCCAACUGCUCCACCCCGCGAUAAUAAGGAAACACUGUGAGCUUACGCUCAAGUGUAUCAUGUCUGUAAUGUCGCUAAAGCGCCAACAGCCGUGACAAUACAAUGGCCUGAGGCCACUAAAGGAGGAUAAGGGAUUCGAACCCUUGCGCGCUUUUACACGCCUGACGGUUUUCAAGACCGUUCCCUUCAGCCGGACUUGGGUAAUCCUCCAUAAGCUGAUAAGUUUUUCAUGGACCUUGCAGGACUCGAACCUGCGACCGGACGGUUAUGAGCCGUCUGCUCUAACCAACUGAGCUAAAGGUCCGAAGCAAGGUAUAAUAGCGGCGAAGGGGGUCGAACCCAUGACCUUCCGGGUAUGAACCGGAUGCUCUAGCCAUCUGAGCUACACCGCCAAAAAUGAAAAUGGAGCCUAGCGGGAUCGAACCGCUGACCUCCUGCGUGCAAGGCAGGCGCUCUCCCAGCUGAGCUAAGGCCCCGUGAAGAUUGUUGAAUCGGGAAGACAGGAUUCGAACCUGCGACCCCUUGGUCCCAAACCAAGUGCUCUACCAAGCUGAGCUACUUCCCGUUUGAAAAUAUUAAAAAAUGCACCCAACAGGAGUCGAACCUGUAACCGCUUGAUUCGUAGUCAAGUACUCUAUCCAAUUGAGCUAUGGGUGCCUAAAUGCCGAGAAUCGGAAUCGAACCGAUACGGUGAUCACUCACCGCAGGAUUUUAAGUCCUGUGCGUCUGCCAGUUCCGCCACCCCGGCAUGUUACUGUUUGUUGCAAUCAUAAGGUCUGGCAUAGUCCUUAUGAA
rnacentral:tRNA from 1 species